UGGGGAAUAUUGCACAAUGGGCGCAAGCCUGAUGCAGCCAUGCCGCGUGUAUGAAGAAGGCCUUCGGGUUGUAAAGUACUUUCAGCGGGGAGGAAGGCGAUAAGGUUAAUAACCUUGUCGAUUGACGUUACCCGCAGAAGAAGCACCGGCUAACUCCGUGCCAGCAGACGCGGUAAUACGGAGGGUGCAAGAGUUAAUCGGAAUUACUGGGCGUAAAGCGCACGCAGGCGGUCUGUCAAGUCGGAUGUGAAAUCCCCGGGCUCAACCUGGGAACUGCAUUCGAAACUGGCAGGCUAGAGUCUUGUAGAGGGGGGUAGAAUUCCAGGUGUAGCGGUGAAAUGCGUAGAGAUCUGGAGGAAUACCGGUGGCGAAGGCGGCCCCCUGGACAAAGACUGACGCUCAGGUGCGAAAGCGUGGGGAGCAAACA
rnacentral:rRNA from 1 species